rnacentral:rRNA from 1 species
GACGAACGCUGGCGGCGUGCUUAACACAUGCAAGUCGAGCGGAGAGGCCCUUCGGGUUCCUCGAGCGGCGAACGGGUUAGUAACACGUGAGUAACCUGCCCUGUACUUUGGGAUAACCCUCGGAAACGGGGGCUAAUACCGGAUACACCUGCUAAAUCGCAUGGUUUGGUUGGGAAAGUUUUUCCGUCUGGGAUGGAAUCGCGGCCUAUCAGCUUGUUGGUGGGGUAAUGGCAUACCAAGGCGAGGAGGGGUAGCCGGCCUGAGAGGGCGACCGGCCCCACUGGGACUGAGACACGGCACAGACCAAUACGGGAGGCAGCAGUGGGGAAUAUUGUACAAUGGGAGGAAGCCUGAUGCAGCGAAGCCGCGUGGGGGAUGACGGCAUUCGGGUUGUAAAGCUCUUCCAGCAGGGACGAAGAGUAAGUGACGGUACCUGAAGAAGAAGCGCCGGCUAACUACGUG